rnacentral:rRNA from 1 species
GUGAGGAAUAUUGGUCAAUGGGCGAGAGCCUGAACCAGCCAAGUCGCGUGAAGGAAGAAGGAUCUAUGGUUCGUAAACUUCUUUUGCAGGGGAAUAAAGUGCGGGACGUGUCCUGUUUUGUAUGUACCCUGAGAAUAAGGAUCGGCUAACUCCGUGCCAGCAGCCGCGGUAAUACGGAGGAUCCGAGCGUUAUCCGGAUGUAUUGGGUUUAAAGGGUGCGUAGGUGGUUUGAUAAGUCAGCGGUGAAAGUUUGCAGCUUAACUGUAAAAAUGCCGUUGAAACUGUCGGACUUGAGUGUAAAUGAGGUAGGCGGAAUGCGUGGUGUAGCGGUGAAAUGCAUAGAUAUCACGCAGAACUCCGAUUGCGAAGGCAGCUUACUAAGCUACAACUGACACUGAAGCACGAAAGCGUGGGGAUCAAACAGGAUUAGAAACCCGAGUAGUCC